UCCGGCUUGCCACCGGGGCAGUCCCCUCAGAGUGCCCGGCAUGACCCGGUAGCAACAGAGGGCGAGGGUUGCGCUCGUUGCGGGACUUAACCCAACAUCUCACGACACGAGCUGACGACAGCCAUGCAGCACCUGUGCACAGGCCCCGAAGGGAGGGUGACUUUCAUCACCUGUCCUGCACAUGUCAAACCCAGGUAAGGUUCUUCGCGUUGCGUCGAAUUAAACCACAUGCUCCACCGCUUGUGCGGGCCCCCGUCAAUUCCUUUGAGUUUCGGCCUUGCGACCGUACUCCCCAGGCGGGGCACUUAAUGCGUUAGCUACGGCACGGAACCCGUUGAUAGAGCCCCACACCUAGUGCCCAACGUUUACGGCGUGGACUAC
rnacentral:misc_RNA from 1 species